UUGGUAUUUAAGAUAUUUGGCGUUACCGUAUCAAUUUUGAAAUAAUCGAUGUUUCUGGAGAGCGACUCUGAAUCGUUUCGCUCAAUUCACUAAUCAUUCGCUCUGUUUCUCAACUGAUCAAACAUCAACAAACCUGUCGAAUUUUUUAUUUGGUUUGUUUCGCUUUGGAAAGUUUAGUGCGAAAUUCCCUUUUUUCCUAAUUUGUAUGUUUUGGUUUAUUCAUCUAUGUUGAAGACCAUCGCGAAUUAGGAAGUGUGUUAAACAUGAAUUAAUGAAACAUCUACCUACAUACCGAGUUGGAAUAUUUUCCCCAACAAAAAGUGAGGUAAAUGAAUUCGCGAGUUUUUAAAUUCUGCGUGACAGAAUUGGGUAUACUAGCCGAUUGGAAGAUAUUCGUUAAAACAUUUAUAUUCUGAUGAAACGGGGAAUGUAAAAAAAACAAGACCGUCGAGUGGCCGUGCUGAAACCCGUGCUGUUUACUUGGAAGUUAAUAAUUUCAUUCAGAGUGGCUGCAAAUAAAUGUCAAACAAGGAGUCGUUCCCGAAUGAAGUUAAAGAGAAAUUGUUGCCAGCGGAAUCUUACGUACGAUGUCUUGGAGUAAAAAGUUCAGACAUUUUCUUCAUUUAAAAGACAAAUAAUUCAACAAUUAUUGUUCGUUACACACUUAAUACAAAUUCCGUAUGUCAAAUAAUUGUACUACGUGACUCAUUAAGUGGCGAUGAUGAAAUUAUCGCCGAUUUACUUCAUAGCAUCUUGUAAUAUUUAUAGAUAUAAUUAUUUGAUUCAUAAUAGAAUUUGUGAGUAUGUGACUACAUACUUUCUCAACGUUUUUAUGGAGAAAUACAUUGAAAAAAGUAUUAUAAAUUUAGACUUCAACUUCUCUCACUAAAACAGUUUGAAAUCAGUUCUGAGAAAGCACAGUAAGCGUAGAUAUUAGUACUACCUAUUGUAAUGUUUAUAUUAUAUAAAUUAUAUACAUGUUGAAAAUAAAAAUUUUCAACAGAAACUUA